rnacentral:rRNA from 1 species
UACGUAGGGUGCAAGCGUUGUUCGGAAUCAUUGGGCGUAAAGCGCGUGUAGGCGGCCAUCUAAGUCUGGUGUGAAAUCCCGGGGCUUAACUCCGGAAGUGCAUUGGAUACUGGGUGGCUAGAGGACAGAAGAGGGAAGUGGAAUUCCUGGUGUAGGGGUGAAAUCCGUAGAUAUCAGGAGGAACAUCAGAAGCGAAGGCGGCUUCCUGGUCUGUAUCUGACGCUGAGACGCGAAAGCGUGGGGAGCAAACAGG